rnacentral:lncRNA from 1 species
GGAAGGGAAAAUACCCUGGCCCACAGACCUGCUCCAGCAGCCUAGCUGACCCCAAAUCAUGUGUGUGUGUGUUUGGGGGGUGGGAGUUAGUGGGACGGAAAGAAAGCAGGCUGGAAGAGUUGAGUCCUGCGGCUGCAACCCCGGGAGAUGCCUACAACAGUGACCUCAGCCCUCUUACUGCCCCCCAUGGGGAACAGGAGACAUGGGUCUGGGAGACAAGGUAGGCUGAUAGCAAUAACAAACCCUAGCUGGCAGUUUAUUGGGGGCGGAUCUUCCCAGUGCCUGGCCUUGCGCAUCAUACUUGACAGGAGUCUUCUGGAGCAGCGGGCAUUAUUAUUUGUCCCGUUUUACAGACGAAAAGACUGAGGAUCAGAAAUGUGAAAAGCAGCUUUCUGAAGGGCCCAAGGUCAAAAAGCGAUGAAGCCAAAAAACAGGACACUGGGGAUGACCAAACCCUGCACCUGUGCACAGGUAAGCCAUCCAGGGUCACAAAUGGGAAGAAAUAGUGCCUGUGGGCAGUGACAGCACCGGCGGAGAGUCGGGUCUUAGUCCGGGCCGGUAAGAAGUCGGUCAGGAGGCAAAUGCGGACGUCCAAGGCUGUGUGGUGGGGGAGCCCGCUCAGUGCCCUGGAGCCGAGGGCUGGCCCUGCGCGCUGCGGAGCUCGCAGCCUAGAGCCUACCUCCGUAACCGCCAGAGGGCGGCAGCGCCCCGCCAAUGGGCUGGAAGGCGGGGCUGGCUGCGGAGGAAGAGCCGCUCCCUCCCCUCCCCUCGCGGUCUCCCCACCCUGCCCCCGCCCCCGCGCGCACACCUGCGAGGGUCACACAAAGGCGCAGGACUCCCCGCGCACCGCGGAGCAGACAAAGGCGCGCCAAAGCGUCGGGCCUCUUCCUUAUCUCGACGUACAGGGUCCGAGGAUGCAGAAUCACAAGGCGCCUCCAAAUACCUCUCCUGCGGCCCGGGACUCCCCGGGACACGCUGUGCCCCACGCUGUGGGGGCCCCCCAAACCACACGUCCGCAAACACACGUUUGGACUCACCCCAAGUGUUUCUACACGUGGACCCUAGCACUUCAAACACACACAGACUCCUAUGAACACAUCUCUGUGUACAUGGCCCCAGUCCUCCCUCCUGACCAUGGUCUCUCCCUUAUACAGACACCUUCUUCUACUCCUCUAUGUGGAUCCUUGGGCACAAGGUCACAUCUACACAUAUGACCAGUCUAGGUCUGGCCACGUGUAUCUACAUUCACACACAUGCACACCCACAAGGGAUGUGAUAGACAAGCACAACUACAUGGGUGCCCUCCCCAUCUGCACAUGGCCAGUCACCCGGAUACACCUGGGCAGGCAGGUGGGCAAGACAGCGAUGACCACAGUUCUCCCAUCUGCACAGGGAGGACAGUGUCUAGGCUCCCACACUCCACAACAUUCCAUACCGUCAAGGCCAUUGCACAGAGGACACCCACAGACCACACAGCAUCUGGCUGCAGGGUUCCACACAUGAAGGUCUUUCAGAUAGCAGUCUGGUGGCAGUGGGCUACUGGAGCCUUGUCUUAGAGCUGCAUUUGCCCAGUGAGCUCUGUUUUCAUUUAGGAUUUAUGUUUGGGGGGGUUGGAAAUGGGGGUCAUAUGACAUUAAUGGGGGGCAAAAUACACUGGACACCCCUAUGCUCCACCCUGAACAUAUUCAGCAUCAUCAAAGUGAGAAGCACACUUUUACACAUGACUCCAGGCCAGCCCCUUAAGUGGAGCAAGGAGAGGACCGCCCACUUCUAGGGCAGUGCUCCCAGGUCUGAAGGGGAGUCCAGGAGCUGGGAAGGCCUUACUUGCUCCCUCGGGGGAUGAAAUCACCACCCCUGUCACCUCCCAUGUUGGCUUUACUGUUAUUGCCUCAGACCAGAGCUCAAUCCCUGGGCCUGAAUGAGGGGACCUGGGGUGGGCCUGCCCAAGAGAGAACAGAGGGGCAGAAUUUGGGAUACAGUAGGUAGGUAGGACUUGACAGCUGGGAAUGGAGAGACCCAGGCAGGGGGAGAUGGUGGCCUCCCUGACAGAGAAGAGGACUCAAGCCAAGCUGAACAGGGCAGGUAGGACACAGGCACUGGGGAGCAGUGGGGGCCACUCGAGGUGUAGGGAGCCUGCAGGGAGGCGGCACAGGGGAGGCCAGGCUGGGCUCAGGGCUGAGCGGUAAUUAAAGGAGACGUAGGGGGCUCCCCAGGGCCAGCGGGGCUGGUAACUGACACGCGGGCCCCAUUGCUCCGCUCAUAUUUCUCGCCGGAUCGAUACGUUUGACUCCCGACAAGACAAUAAUCGCUUGUACGCGGCUGGCGAGUCGAUCAAAUACAUUAUUAGAGCGAGGUCCCCCGGGGGCCCGCUGGAGAGUGGGGGGGCAGCAGCCAGCCCACCGGGGACAGCAGAGAGAGAUUCUUCACCCCUUAGGGCCCCCCUGCCAUGGCCUAUUCCUCCCGGCCACCCCUGGGGACACUCUCUGUGGCUCAGUUCCCCAGUAUCUCUCUGGACUCCUGUUAUCUUUAGCAGUCUUUCUGCUCAGCCUUCAGCCUCAUCCCUGCUCUAUGUGGAGACCCAAAGGGCCUUUCCCCAUAGAUGCUGGCCUCAUCUGUAGGGUUUUAGCAUGUGGGAGUUCAGAGGGGCACCUCAGAACCCUUGCCUGGUGGGAGACAGGGAAACUGAGUUGCAGGCCAUACCCUGAGUCCAUGACUGGACUUGGAAGUGAACCUGGGCCCCAUAUUCAUUAGCACCAAUUUUUCUCUGCCUGGCCUCCCUUCUGCAUCUAAGCACAUUGGCCUUCAGCAGAGUCCAGGCCAGGGACAGCCUCCGAGAGAUAGUGAGAGCUGGCUUAGAGACCUACAUGGGCAGGAAAACAAGGAUGGUAGGAAUGGCAGACAAACCCAUAAAGAGAAGUGUGGCCAACCCUGCUGCAGGCCAGGCAGUCCGUCAGGGGCCUCAGUGACCCUCAAACCAUGCCUAGCCUCAGCUCUGGCCCACCGCAGGCAGUGCUUGCCCAUCUCUUGCCCACUUUCCCAUUUUCUGGGCUCAGAACUACUUCCUAUUGACAUGCUACCUAACCCCCUGGAUCUGAGGUUCCCUCAGGACUAUUUCUUCAACAGCCCCAAGUCAAAGUCAAGUCCUAUAUGGAUCGACCAGCAUCUAGGGACUCAAAAUAUUUCUUUACCUUUUCCUCCUCACUAUCGUCAUCAACACUAGCAGUAGCAGCAGCAUCACUGUCUAUUCUGUGCUAUUUGAACCAAUAAAUUAUUCCUAAAUCUUCACAACAGUCUGAAGAGGUAAGGUUUGUUAUCAUCCCCCAUUUUGUUGGUGGGGUUCAGAGAGUAGAGUCAUCUGACCCAAGUCACAUUGCGUGUGAGUGGUAGAGUAUGAAUUCAAACCUGGGUCCAUUCUCCCCACAGCUUGUUCUCUCUCUGCUCUGCCAUGGACCUCCUUUUAGACUUUGGAAGCCUCCCCAUCAUCCACUGGACAACAGGAAUAGCCACUCUGUCCACUCAGGAACACUGGAAUCCUCCACAGCCCCCACCCAACUCUGACAGCUCUUAGAGCCAGUUUCUGGAUGUUCAGCAAGGAACUAGGUUCCUUCUGACCCCAUCUGGUCCUGCCUCAAAGUAAGCCAACCCUUCUCCAGUUCCUUAUUCUAUACAUUUCCUACAUGUUUCUGGGUUCUGAGCCCUGUGCUGGGAGCAGAGGACCCAGAAAUGAGCUAGACCUGACUGCACUCAAGUUGCUCAUGGUGUGGGGGGAAGACAUGCAGAUAAAAUAUCUGCUAGUCCAUCCCUCAGUCAGUAUCCAGGAAAUGCUACUGUGCCAGGACAUGGCUAAACCCAGAGAAUACAGGGAUAUGCUUUAUCCCUCACCCCCCCAGAGCUUACAUUUUUGGAGAGGAGGAUCAGUUUUUUUUUAAAUCACCAAAUAAAUAUAUAAUCCCAAUUUGGGAAAAGUGCUUUCAAGAACAGGUGAAGGACCCAGGCAUAGUGGCACAUGCCUGUAAUCCUAGCGACUUGGGAGGCUGAGACAGGAGGAUCAUGAUUUCAAAGCCAGCCUCAGCAACUUAGCGAGGCCCUAAGAAACUCAGUGAGACCAUGGCUCUAGAUAAAACAUAAAACAGGGCUGAGGAUGUGGCUCCGUGGCUAAGCACUCCUGGGUUCGAUCCUCAGUACCAAAAAAAAAAAAAAAAGAAUAGAUAAAGGAGCUUAAAUGGAUGGUGGCACAUUGCAGAAAUCUGUCCCAAGGAGGUAACAUUUACUUUGUAAUUCAGCACAAUAUUCAGGAUGCAAAAGAUGUGGAGAAAAGCAUUCCAGGCAGUGUGAACAGAAGAGGUGGUGGCCCUAAAGCAGCAAGCAACAUGAAAAUUCCAGGAACUGAAAAUCAGCCUGUUCAGCAGGUACAGAGUGAAUGAGGAAGAGGAUAUGAUGAUGAGGUGAAGAGGUGCAGGGCCAGGCCACACAGGGCCUUGCAGCCCCUGGCAAGAAUUAUGGAAUUUGAUUCAAGAACAGUGGGACACCACGAGAGAGUUUUAAGCAGGGAAAUGACAUGAUUUUGUGAACAUUUUCAUGGAUGAUUAUGGCUGUGGUGGUGGGGGUACACCAAAGAGCCAGAGGGUGAGGGAGUCAGCCAUGAGGAAGCUGAUACAGUGUCCACAUGAGGGAUGAUGAGGACAGAACCAGGAAAGUGGCAGUGGGGGAGGAAAGAAGGAGGUGCCUCUGGAAGAAAUUUUCUGUGCAGACAAAACAGGAUUUGGUAGCUAGAUAAAUCUGGGGUGUGGAAGAGAGGAAGGAGUCAAGAGUGAGCCCAGCUACUUGGAAGUAGUUCCUGCAUAGGAAGAUGGGGGAGGAGGGAGAGCUUAAGCUCGGAUGAGAAAGAUCAGGGCCCAGAGAGACAAGAACCUUAAGGAUGGAUUUGAUGUUGUAGAUGGAAGGCUGCUGAGAGGGAGGUUCUGAGUGAGGAAGAGCCACCAGGGACUGGUAUGGAGACUGGCUGGUGGGGUGAAUCUGGAGGCAGGAUGACCAGUGCUGAGAGUGGACACUGGUCCAGGCAGCCAGGGAAGACUGAAACAUGAGGUGAAGGUGAGGAUACAAACUCAAUCUACAGUCACUAGGGACCAGGAGAUCAAAGGGCGGGGGGGGGAUGCUAGGCUAUCUCUGACGGACAUUGGGAAGGGGAACAAAUUUGGGGGAAGAUCAGAAAGAAGCACCUUGGAAUCAGUAAGGUCUAUGGAUCAGACAACCAGUGAUGCUUAAUAAACCACACUGACACAAGACACUGGACAUACCCACUACUACCCGAGCUUCCCAAAUCCACCAGAAUGUACAGUCACCUCAAGUAAGAAGAGAAGUUCUGUGCUGUGGCUCAAAAAAACAUAAAAAUCAGAAGACCAGGUUGCUGUUUUACAACUGGACAUCUGAUGAUUUAGGGACAGCCUCCCUGUACACUCUCGGCCUCAGUUUCCCAACUCUAAGAGGAAGGUAGGCUAAAGGGAUACUUCUUUCAGCUCUAAAAUUCUGUGGCUUGAAAGAAGCAAGAAAGGUAAGAAAGACUGAUGAUCAGCUCAAACAGAAAGAGAAUGAAUUGCAGGUCUACUCUAUGGAAGACCUCACUGAGUUUAUUUAGAAUCCCUUGAUUCCUCACUGCCACCUUAGAAGUAAGGACUCUUAAUAUCCCAUUUUAAAGAUGAGGAAAUUGAGGCCCACAGUCACCUGAAGUCUUGCUGACCCCCAAGCCUGUGCUUAAAUUGCUGUGUUGAGCUCAUUGCUCUUACCCUAACACAUGUCUCUCUCAGAUUGUAGGUCCCCCAAGAACACAGUCCUUCAUUUCCAUUGCCACAUACUCACUGGUCUCCAAAGGAGCAGAUUCCUAGAGUCUCGUCACUGUACCCAUGGACAUCCCCUGCUGCACCCAGACUUUCCAUUGCACGUGUGCACACACAUGCACAUGCACACAUGCAUCCUGCUCUGCUCCAGCUCUGACUUCCCCUCUUCCAGCAUCUCAGUGACCACUAUUGUCUCCCCUGUGCAGGGAGCUGUCCAAAGGCUGAAAUGAAUCUCCUUAGUCCAGACCCUUAUCCUUGUCCACCCAGGGCCUUCUGGGGACUCCUAGAUGCCCCCAGGACAAAUCAAAUCCCCAUACCAUGGCCUCAAGAGCUCUGAAGGGCCUCUAUCCACACAAGCACCAAACUCCAGCUACACUGGAGGAACUGAGUUCAUCCCCACCUUGGGGCCUUUGACCUGGUUGAUGCUCUUGAAUGCCACUCACCUCCUCCCAGUUUUCUCAUCCUUUAGGAUUCAGCUUGGAGCCGGGUGUGGUGGCGCACAUCUAUAAUCCUAGUGGCUUGGGAGGCUGAGACAGUAGGAUCACAAGUUCAAAGCCAGCCUCAGCAAAACUGAGGCUCUAAGCAACUCAGUGAGGCCCUGUCUCUAAAUAAAAUACAAAAUAGGGCUGGGGAUGUGGCUCAGUGGUUGAGUGCCCCUGAGUUCAAUCCCUGGUACCUUCCUCCCUACCAAAUAAGAUUCAUCUCAGAGGUCACUUCCUUAGAGGGCACUAUAUUCAUCACAUUCUACUAUAAUAUUCAUUUUUAUUUUCUUCAUGGGCUUUUGAAUUUAAUUACUAUCUAGCUGUUUUAGUAUUUUGACAUCUAAAAUGUAAGCUCUCUGAAAGCAGGUGUUCUUUUCUGUUUUCUUCACCAUGGUAUCCUAAUGUUAUCAGUGCUGGGCUUGAACCCUGUUAUUGUUGAAUGAGCAAUUCCCUCCAGGCUUCCAUGGCCCACAAACUGAAGUCUAUGGCUGGAUCUCCAAGCCCAAAUGGAUAUGCCCCCUGUCAACCUCUUCAGCCAUUUGCCCUCUGAGUUCACCUUCAAGCUUUGCUCAGCAACAAGGAUUACGAUGCGUGCCGUGUCCCUCCUGCCUGCUUUAUCUUCCACACAGAUUCUACCCCUGCUCAAAUCUCCCCUCUCUGGAAGCCUUCCCUGACUCCACCAGAAACCCAAUCAAUAGGAAGGACCCCAGUCUUCCUACAGGAAGACUGGGCCUUAGCACUAUUCAUACUGUCUUGAGUUGCUUCCCAGUGAGGCUGUCCCCUGCAGCCUGUGAUAUUCUUAAGGAUAGGACUGGGUUCGAUUCAUUAUUGUUGAGUUGGGACCCAGCAUAUAUCCAGGGCUCCAAAAUGUAUUGAAUGAGGACAUUUUCCCCAUAGACUAAGUAUAAGUAUACAUAUACAUGAAUAUUAUGACUAGUUGGAGGGUUAGACAGAUUAAAUGGGUUCUCCCACUUAUUUGCCUUAUAACUAGGUCAAGGACUUCCCUCUCUGAGUUGCAGGUUCCUUAUCUGUGAAAUGGAGGCAGUAACACAGGAUGACAAGAACUUCAUUCAUGUUAAGUAUAAACUUGCCAUCAUGCCAUAAGUACAAAAGAGUUCAUUAAAUCAAGGUCUGAGUGAAGGGAAGGGAGGGGAUGUGGGGGUGGAAAGGAUAAUAGAAUGAAUUGGACAUUAUGACCCUAUGUGCAUACAUGAUCACAUGACCUGUGUGACUCUACAUCAUGUACAACCAGAAGAAUGAGAAGUUAUACUCCAUUUAUGUAUGAUGUGUCAAAAUGCAUUCUACUGUCAUGUAUAACUAAUUAGAACAAAUAAUUUUUUUUAAAAUCAAAGUCUGAGAUUGAUAAAAUCAGGAACAAUCUUGAUGCCACCAAUAGAACAGUGGUUAAAUAAAUUGGUGGUAUGUUCAUAUUCAGGAAUCUUAUAUGGUCAUGAGUGAGAAUGAUAUAUAUCUAUGGAUAUGGACAUGGAAAGCUCUCCAAGGCACUAUUGAGAAAAAAUAAUCAAGUUGCAGAAUGAAGUUUACACUUAGAUAUCAUUUAGGUAAAACACUCUACAUUUUCUGUGGGUGCACAGGCAUUGAGAGGAAAAGGUCUGAAAGAUAAUGAAUUAACUAAUGACUACUACCUUUGGUGAGGGAACCAAGACUGGAGAAGCAUAGAGGAUUCAAAGGAAAUUUUAACCUUUUCUGUAAAUGAUUUUGGUUUUGGCUAUGAGAUCAUAUUCAUUUUUAAAUUAAAAAUUAGAAUACCAGGUAGAAAAGCAAAGCAAUGAUUAUCCUAAAGGUUUAUCAGGCUGGAGGCUCGUGGUUGCCUCCAGCAGGGAGAGAGGGUGCUUGGGAAGGGAUUCAGGGAAGGAACUUAUGGAUGCUGGGGUGCCUUUGACACCUCAACUCUAGUGGUGAUGAUAGAGAUGUUCGCUGGGUCAGCAUUCAUUCAACUGUCCAUUUUUGUCCUGUCCAGUCACCAUAAGCUUCCUGAAGGCAAGGGCAAAUUUGUACACAUGAUAGCAUCAUCUGACUCUUCUUCCCUCUUUCAUUCCACUGCUCAGAAACAAAUUUAAAUAAGUUGGUGUCCAGCAUUCGAUAGGGCGCGCCCGUAGCUGCAAACACUUGGCGGGACUGAGGCUGCUGUCCAGGGUACUAACAGCCAAGACCGGAAGGCCAUGGGGGGAGGCUGGCAAAGUAAGCCAGUUCUAAGACUUCUUACUGUAAAGGCCACUCUAGAUUGUGCCCUGUGACUUGACGCCACCCCUUCUGUACUCCCCCUGGCUCUCUCCCAUCCUCUACACACUUCCUUCAUGCUGGCUGGAUCUCGCUUUCUGCAACCCCAAGCCCAAGCUCUCCUCCUUGCCUCAAGACUUUGCUUUUGCUCUUCCCCUGCCUCAUGCAAUCUUUCCCCAGUCAUUCUCCUGCCUUCUCCCCUCACUUACUGCGAGGUUCCAGUUAAACAUGACCUCUAUAGAGAAGUCCUUUUGAUCACUCUAACUCUUCUUCUCUCAUCACUCCAUUCUUUACCAUAUUGCAUUUUCUUCUAACACUCUCCUCUAAUGUUCAAGUUUCCAUGUGUUAUGUAUUAUGAACUUGCUAAUUAUCUCUCUUCCACAACCUGAAUGCUUUUGCUUGGAGGAUGGGGAGCAUGUCUGUCCUGUUAUUUUUUGGUGGGGAGGGUAUCAGGGAUUGAACUCAGGGGUACUCAACCACUGAGUCACAUCCCCAGCCCUAUUUUAUAUUUUGUUUAGAGGUAGGAACUCACUGAGUUGCUUAGCAUCUCACCAUUGCUGAGCCUGACUUUGAACUUGCAAUCCUCCUGCCUCAACCUCCCGAGCUGCUGGGAUUAUAGGCAUGUACCACCAUGCCUGGCUGUCCUAUUAUAUUUUGUCUUCCUUUUAAAAAGUACUUCAGGUGCAAAAAACUGGAUUAAUUAUAAACCUUGGUCAUGGUGUAUUCCCAUCACUGAGCUAGAUAGAGCCCUUUUUCAUUAUUUAUCUGUUUACUUAAGUGUUUUUUUAAAUAUUUUUAGUUUUAGAUGGACACAAUACCUUUAUUUGUUUAUUUAGUUUUACAUAGUGCUGGGGAUCCAACCCAGGGCCUCACACAUGCUAGGCAAGUGCUCUACCACUGAGCUACAACCCCAGCCCAAUUUAAGUGUUUUUAAUAAUGUGUUAACAUGAACCCACCACUCAACAUUCAGAUUACAUUUGUGACAAUAAUCCCACUGAGUUGUGUCUUUCCUGUGUCUCCAGUGCCUGCAAUGUAGUGGGUAUUCAGUAUAUAUUUGCUGAAGAGAAAAUGACCUCCAUACCCUGCCAAAGGGGACUAUUGGGAGUGUGCACCUGGGUGGGGGUGGAGAAGAAAUCAAAGGCCCGGCCUUCCACUAAGCUCCCCACUCUCCAGUGGGGACAUUGAUGCUUAGCAAGUUAGGUCAUUUACCUGUGGUUAUGGGGAUGGAACUAUGACCAGUACCAGGCAGCUGGACAGCAAAGUCCAUGUUGCCAACAUGGUUUUCUUCCUCAAACUUACGCUUUGCCCACCUCUUCCCUUUGACUCAAAUGGUGGACUUAAACCUGGGCUUUGCUGUCCAAGAUAUCCACAUGUCUCCCUUCCCUGUCUUGUUAUAGCCUCCUGCCAAUAAGAGCCAGUCACUAGGAGCUUGUCUAUUGGUUGCCAGCCUUGAGUCACAAGGACUCUGGGAUGCAGACCAAAUGGUAUUCCCCACUCCACUUUACAGGCUCUUGGCACCUUCUGCAAGCCCACAAGCAAGUCUAGGUGUGAGAGGAGCCUACACCUUUCAGAUCUACUUGUUCCUGACACCACCUUACUCAGAGUUCACCUCCUUCAUGGAAUCUUCCAAGGGAAUGCCUCUCACUCACUUCCAGGCUUGAUCUCAUUCUGAUCACAAACUUCUGCUCAGUGCUAAGAACACCAGGAACUUUGCAGUUUAUGUGAAGACCAAUAAAUAGAUGCAAUCCAGGCCCCUACCUCCCAGAGGUUCCUCCAGCCUCUAAAGAAAAAGUAGCAGAUGCCCUGGUGAGAGGAAAAGCUCAGGUAUGUGCAAGCCCAGACCUUAACUCUCUCUCAAUGUCUUUGAGCCUCAAUAUCAUCACCAAUUCCAAAAGUGCCCUCUGAUUCCUUCACUCCCCUACUGCAAUCCAGGCCACCAAUCUCUGCCCUGAAUGACUUUAGCAACCUUCUCCCUAAGGAUCUUCCUACUUCCAUGCUUGACCCUGAUGAGUCUUGUCUACUCUUAACACCUAGAGAGAGUAUGCUCAGUACCCAACAAGCACCUGGCUCAUGGAGAAUACUCAACAGAAUGCUGAAUGCAUUUGUUCCACGGGGACACCUGAGGCUUCUGAACCUUAGUUUCCACUUCCUUAAACCAAGAUAAUAAUUCAUCUAUUACAAGGAAUAAUGAGGAUCCAAGCAGAGAAUGAAUAUUGAUAAUGCUUUAGAAAAAGUGCUCCAAAAAUAUAAAAGCUUAAAAGAGCCAGAACUAGGGGAUGAGCACGAUUUCAGAGAGGAGCAAGGAGGAGGGGCACGGCCUUUUAUCAGGUAAUCUUAUUGUAUUUUAUAUUUCCUGCUUCACUAAUUCCUAUGAGGUGGUGGUUAUGACCCAGAGGAAGAAACAGGAUCAGAGAGAAAAAUCCAACUACCAUGGUGUCACAGUGAAUCCAUGGCAGAGUCAGGAUUUGAACCCCUCACACUAAAGCAUUCACAUUUUCUAAGCACCUCCUUAGCUGGGGGCUCUCAAAAAACAUUUCUGGGUUGAAUCAAUGAAAGGCAGCCAGAACCAUUGGGUCUAAAUGGCAGUCCUGACUCUGGCACUAACCAUUUGGUGACCAUGAGCAAGCCACUUGCCUUCUCAGCCUCAGUGGCCCCAUCUUGAAAGCAGGAUUAAUGACAAUGCCUGCACCUAACGUGUCAGAGUCAGCAAGACAACCCAGGUCCCAAAAAGCUGUCCAUAAGCAGCUAUUAGGAUUGUUACUCUUCCACUUGAGGGAACAGUGUGAGCAAAAAAUGAUGAGAGGCCAGUGGAGAGAGGAACACUCAGGGAGGGCCAUGCAACAGAGGGGACAUCUAGAGCCAGAUGAGAAAGGACUCCCAAAUCUGCACCUAGCUGCCAAGGCAGGAAGUGGGAAGUAUUGAUGAGUCCUGAACUUCAAGGAAUAGCUCCUGACCAAGUGUAUGAUCCUCAGGAAGCCAUAGAGGUAGUGAGGUCAUUGCUGCAGAAGCAUCCCCUAUCUCCUGCCCAUCGAAUUAUCUUCUGACCCAGAGCCCUCCCUUCAUUCCAGGUUUCUCAACCCCACUAGAAUCCCACACUCCUAAGCCAUUCCUGCCAAUCUUGUCGCCCAGCCCUGGUCCUCUAGCUCAUGCCCUGGCCUUCCCCACUAACCAGCCUGAAGGAAGGCUCUCUUUUCUUAGGAAGGCCUUUUACCAGCUGGAAAGCUGUUAUCUGAGGGUAGUCAAACACUUACAACUAGCUGAGGUAUAAGCAAGCAUGUGACCUGUGGCUAGGCAUGAGUGUCUACACACAACUUUUUUAACCUAAAGGGCUUCAUCCCUCGAGUCAGUGGGACCUGUGUGACACAGAGCUUCUUACUCCCUUCAUAACCAGGGAUCUGUAGACCAUGACAGCAAGACAUGGACACUGACUUAGUGGAAAGAUCUGUGGAUGUGCAGUGGAGUGACCGGUUGGGUCACUGAGUCUUGGAUGAAGAUGGCAGCUUAGAAAGGAGAUCUAGGGUCACCUCAGAAUUAUUUUCCUGUCAAGUGACCCCCAUCUGUCGGCUUCUCAAUUCACCCCAGAGAUUCUGAAUCCCUUGCUCUUUCCUCUGCUCUGUCUCUGCUCUUUCUGAGGCCACCCUUCUCUCUCUCUCUCCACCCCCUGGCCUAUCCUAUGGCAUAGGCUCUUCAUUCCAUCAUUUGCUCCACACAUAUCCCUUGAACCCUGUCCAUGUGACAGAUACUGAACUAGGGAUCAGUUCAGUAUCAGUCAUAUCGACAGACCCCUGUCACAUACAAAACUCUUAACCCAGAAAUCUGAUAAUGGAGGUGGGGCCUGGGAUCUUGAAUCUAUCUUUCACACUACUCCUUAAAGCAUGACCCCAGUCAUGUCACUCCUAAGCCCAGACUGAGCAGAAAAACCUUGGCAUACCAGAGCUUGCUUUCUCUCUUCUUUCUUUCUUUCUUUCUUUUGUGUGUGUGUGUGUGUGUGUGUGUGUGAGAGAGAGAGAGAGAGAGAGAGAGAGAGGGACUGAGGAUUGAACCCAAGGGUGCUUAACCACUGAGCUCUUUUUUAAUUAUUUUUUUAGUUGUCAAUGGAACUUUAUGCUAUUUAUUUAUUUAUAUGUGAUUGAACCCAGGGCCUCACACAUGCUAGGUAAGUGCUCUACCACUGAGCUGCAACCCCAGCCCAACCACUGAGCUCUUUUUAUUUUUUAUUUUGAGACAGAGUCCCCCUAAGAUGCUGAAGGCUACCUCUAACUUGCAAUCCUCCUGCCUCAGCUUCCCAUGGGACUGGGAUCAUAGGUGUGCACCAUCAUGCCCAGCAGUCCUUCCUAUUUCUACAGAUUCAUCUUCCCAAGCCACCAAGAGUUAGUGACAGCCCAGUCCUGCAUCCUUGAGAUAUCAUCAUGGGGGCCCCUAGUAUGACAGUGGGAUGACCACAUUCACCAGAGUGGGGAAUCCUGCUAGAGAAGCCCCCAGUCCUUUUGCAGAAACUAAAAGAACCCUGGGCUUUCAAGACACAGGAGAUGUCACGAACACCAUCUGAACUGCUUAUUUUUCAGGGGAAAACCAGGCUCAGAACAAGCAAGUGACUUGAGCAAAGCCACACAGGAAGUGUGAGGCAGACAGAGGGCCCAGCCCUCAGGACUCCAGCUCCACGUCUGCAGGUGUAGACAGCUCUCACUCCAGCAGUUACUGAUACUAUGAGAGAGAGAGAGCAGAGGGGCAGAGACCCUUUCUCUCUGCUCCCGUUGAUGUUUCAGGGGCUCUGUUUAUUUUUACAGUAGUGGGAGGGGGGCUGAACCAGGAGAGAUGUAGGAAGACACGAGAGAUGGAGGGGGCAAGGGUAGAGGGAAAAACAGAGCAGAGAAAAGAGGAGUGAAGGGAGGGAAUAACCGGAGCCUUGAAAGGUAGAACAGAGAAGUAUGUGCAGGUUUUUAAAUCCCUGGAGGGAGAGGCAGCAAUAAAGGAAAGAAUCAGAGUCAAACAGAGAGACGGAAACAUACAGAGAAAGCGAGGAAGAGACAGAGAAAGCAGAAAGAGAGAAAGAGAAAAGAAAGAAGGGAAGGGAGAAAAGCAAGCUGUGGUGGGGCCACUGGGCCUUCUGCAAAUUACUUCCCCAACACCCUCUUCUCGGCCCCUCACACCAGCGGUCCUUCGGGUGUGUGGUGUGUCCCUCCCUGGUCCUGCGCAGAGAUGAGGCUGAUCUAUGGAGAGGUGUCCAACUGCCGCCCCUGUCUUUCCGCCUUCACUCAGCUGCCUCCCAGAAAAAGAGGCAGCCUUCAGAAUAGAAGGGGUACAGGGGGUCCCAAGGGCUGCAACAGGGCCAAGGCUGGGUCUGCCUCCCCCUCACCGUGGUGUGCUGGGGACACCCCAUCUGUUCUUGUUGGUGGCCCCUGUUGGCUGCGGCUGCAGGGCAGGCUACUGCUCCCCUGAUUUUAGCCAACACCUCCCUCAACCUGUGGCCAUCUCCUGCUGCCCACUCCAACACCCUUCUGUUCUUCCUCCUCCUGCCCAUCCCUGUGCCCCACAAGACCAUUCAUCCAGAGCCCACCUUUCUGCUCCCCUAUGGGCCUGGGGUUAGGGAGGGGAACACAGCAGCCUAGGUGGGGGUGGAGAGCUGGUGGGUUAUUGAGGAUGUGCAGGGACUGCAGCUGACAUGGAUGAGGAGGAAGAGGAGGGGGUCUUGGUGAUGGACGAUGCUGAUUCUUUGGUGGGGCGAUGGCAGGCCAGGGGGUGGAGGAGGGCUGGGGGAGGGGUGGUGAGGAAGCAGGUUGGGGGGAAGCAGGACCAGGCUCACAUUUGGCAUUCAGGGCAGCUGACAAUAAAAAUGCUUUAUUGCCAAGAAACUGGAUCGAUCGGGGCUGGAGGGGGCCGGCAGGGGGGACGCGGAGGGCUCAGCGCAGAGGCCGGCGGCCCGGCCUCCGCAGCGACCAGGGCCCGAGCCGCCCUCCCCCCUGCGCCCCCCUCCCCGCCUCCUGCCCUUUCUCUCUCCUGCAGCCACCGCUUAGUUCUUAUUAUAUUUUUUCUUAUAUAUUUUUCCCCCAGCUUCUCCUGCUCCUGUUUUUUUUCUCCUUUCUUUUAAUUUUUUUAAAAACUCACUGCACUCCCAGUGCUGCAGGCCAGGUGGGGGUGGGGUGGGGGCGUCUGUCCAAGCCAGGCCCUACCCACAGGGCUUCCAGUGCUGCUGGUUCCAGGAUGAGCCCCACUUUGCCUCCAUACCCCCAAGUUUGAUCAGGUUCCCCCACACAGCCUGGCCCCUUCCAUGGCUAGUUUCUCCUGUAACCCCUCCUAAGAGCCUCCCUUCACCCAGGGAGCACCCCCACACCCGUAGUGGGCACAGAACCCUGGCCAGACCUUCCUCCCCUCCCCCCUACCUGGCCCCCUGCUCACUCCCUGAGCCAUUUGGCUGAUGGUCAGAACUGUCCGUCAAGGGGGCUCUGAGCCCCUGGGGACCCAGAUGGGAGGAGGGAGGGGGAGAGGUCGGGGGUCAGGCCACGUCCCCUCAGCUCGUCUCUUUCCCCUCCCCCUUCCUAACAAAGGGAGCAGCGGCCUGAUGCUGGGGUGGGGGGUGCCUGGUACUCAGGGAAGCAGGAGAGGAACUGUAGAUGGCCAUGGGCAGGAGGAGGGGUGGGGGCUGCUGGCCCCUCCUCGGCCCGCCCCCUCGGGUCAAGGCUAAGGUGAUUCCUCAACCUCUCCAGGCUGGGCUUGGAGGGGAGGAGGAUCUGGGCAGACAAAGAACGGGAGCCCCCGGGAGUUGGGGGCUGGGGGAAACACCUGGGACCCAAGCAGUUCUGACUGAGGGAGGGGCUGAGACCAGGCACCCUCCUGGCCCUGGUCUCACCCUCCUGAUGGCCUUGUCUCCCAUCUGCAGCAAUCUCUAUGAAUCCCAGAGCCAUGACAGAACCUUCCAGCUGGAGCAGGGUUGCAUGCGGGAAGGAGGGAAACUGAGGCCCAGCAAGGGGAGACAGAGCAACGGAUAGGAUCCAGGAUGGAGGCACAGCCCCAGGGUUCUCGGUGCUGUCCCUGCACCUUUCCCCUACUACCCCUUCCUACCCAGGGAGACCUAUUCCUUCCCAGGUCAGGGAUGACUUAGAUGGAUGGGGCAGGUAGUAGAAGUUUCUGUGGAGAAAAGAGAGGCUGAGUCUCUCCCAGCUUAGGCCAGCAGGGAGGGAAAAGAACCAGAAAAAAGAAAUCCUCAGUGUGAUCCGGCCUGGCACUGGCCUGGCACAGUUAUGGUGAGAAGCAGAUGCAAGGAACAAAACCAUGCAGACAGGAGCCCCUGAGUGCAAGGAAGGGGGCCUUCAGAGAGGUCUCUCUUUUGCUCAUGCUCACAUAGCAAAGGAAGAGGAUCGACAGUCCUGUCUACCCCCACAUCAACAGGACACUGUCUUGGGGCCUCACACCUGCCCUUCCUGACUAUGGAGGGCAAAGGGGUAUCAAGGUGGCAAACAGCUCUGAGCAGGGGUAAAGAGCUGCCAGAGAGACAGAAAGAGAUGAGCAGAUCUUCUCUCCUACCAAGGCUGAGAUGACUCUCAGAGAGAGGGCCGCAGCCAAGGGGAGGAGGGAAAUGGCAGGGCAGACCUCUUUUGGGGAAGUGGGCCAGGCUCAAAUGUGCCCCCACAGCCUGUCCAGGAGGCCCCAGAUGGGCCAAGGACUAUAGGGGUCCCGGCUGCCCUCCCCCAAACCUCCCCUCCCUUCUCUCCCUCUCUUUCUCGGCUGGCUAUCGACCGGGGCUGUGACAUGGUAGAUCAAUACGGCAGGGAUAUAAAGCCGGCUGGCUGCCUGCCUGCCUCUGCCUCUCUCUCUCUCUCUCUCUCUCUCUCUCUCUCUCUCUCUCCUUUGCUUGCCUUGCUUCCCUUCCCGGAGCCAGCCGCACCCAGGCCCCCACCCCCAUGCACCCCUUACCCCAGCUUCUGAGGGGCCAGGGCCCCCACCACCACUCCCCUACAGCAGGAGAGCUUAGGGAGGCUGCGAGCUUGGACAGCCAGGAAAGGGGGUGAGUAUGGGAGUGGGCAGGGAAGCAGACGGGAAUGGUGGUCACACUCGCAGGUAAGGGGACUGGGAUAAAUUGAGAGACAGUCCCCCAAGAGAGAGCAGGCAUCCCCUCAUUUGGGAGCGGCUCAAGGAGAUGGGGCCCUUUGAAGGUUCGUGAAGGAUAAAGCUCUGGGAGGUGGGCAGGGGCCCCUAGGGGCACUGGGAGACACUGUCCUGAGUCCACGGGGAAGGGAGGGCCUGGGGUGCUGGAAUGAGCUAGGGUGAAUGGAUGUGAAAAAGGGGCACCUCAGGCAAGCCUGCCACCCACCCACAGGGCCAAGGCUGCCCCAUGCUGUGGAUCUCUGUGGGUGGAAGCUGCCUUAUCCUCACCCCAGGGCCUGGCCUGGGUGUGUGUAGGAAUGGGGGGCUUGUGAGGUGUCAAACAGGAGGUUCCAGAGGGAGGGCUGUGGUGUCCAAGUUGCUAUCCGUACAGGGUAUUUGCAGGUCUGUAAGCUCUGCCGGGCACUCAGGGUCUGUGUGUCCUUAGUGUCUUGGCUCCUGAGUCAUGUCUGUUGACCACGAGUCUGUGGGUGUGUCCCAGGGACCUCUGGGGUUGUAUGUAUAUUUCCAUGGGUGUCUACCUAACCCUGAGUGUCCUCAAAUAUGUCUCUUGGGAAAGUGUGAAUGUAUCCCAAGAACAUUUCAGGGGAUACUCUCUGUCCCCAGGAAAUGUGAAGGCUGCAUGCUCCUGUGUGCUCUCUGCGUGUGGUGGCAUGUACAUGCCCCAGCGGAGCAUGUCUGCGCACGGGUAUUUCCGUGAGCGAUUCUCCCUGUGUCCUGGUGCCUGUGUUGUGGGUGGCUGAAUGUGCACUUCAGGGCUCUGUGUAGUUGUCUCUGUGUGCGUGAGAAGCUCUUUCUCUUUAUGAGUGUAGGAGUUUCCAUGUGGUUUCUCUGUGUCUCCGUGCUCCAGGUAUCCUUGUGUGUUGAUGGCUGAAUGCAUUUCCAUGAGUGGAAUGGAGGCUCUGGGUGUGUCCCUGUGUGUGUCAUGGUGACUCGUGCACAUGAUGGUGUAUGUGGUGUGGAGAGGCUACACCCCUGAGUCUCUGAUUGGGGAGGGGGCAAGGUGGCAGAGUCUGCCACUGAGACUAGCUUGGCCUUUUCAUCAAUUCAUCAUCUCCAAAUACCAGUGUGAGGGCCUGCCUGCCUUCUUUCUCUUUCCUGCCAGAGGCCCCAGACCCCUGCCAGGGUGGGCACUGGCCCCCUCCUUUCUCCCACCUUGGGCAGGCAGUACCUCUGCUCUUCAACACCCGCUGCUUUGGUGGAUGCCACCUCAGCUCCACCAAGCGACCUCCGUCCCUCCCAACCCCCCCAGCGCCACCCGCUCCCCCGUCCUCCCCCCACCACAAGUCCAGUCCAACCCAGACAAAAGCAAUUACUCCUGAGGUAGGAUGUGAGUGUGGGUGUUAGAAACAGAAAAGGGGGGAGGGAAAGCAAGAGAGAGACACACACAGGCAGGGAUGGACAGCCAGAGACCCAGAGAGACAAGGAUGGAGCAGAGAUGGACAGAGAGACAGGGACACAGAGAGAGAAGACGAAAGAGACCAGAAGGGACACAGACACAGAAACCAGGAGGCAAAGGCAGAGGGAGGAAGGGGAGGAAGGGCAGGUGGAAAGAACAUGCUAGAGACACACAGAAAAGAGACAAGAGGGAUGCAGAGAGACAGGGAGACGGGACACACAGAGUGAAACCAGAGGAGAAGCUGCAAAGGACACGGAUCAAGAGAGAAUGGGAGCCAGAGACGGAGAACUAGAGGACGGAGGUGCGGGGCGGGUGGGGAGAACUCCACACGGUACAGAGAGGGACGGGAAGACUAGUGAGAGAAGGAAACGGGCAGGAGCCCGGGGAGCCAGGGAUGGAGACCGAGGGAGAGCCGCAGACGGAGAUGGAGGGCAGUUGGUGAUGCACUAGGAACUCAAGACAGCAAGCUGAAGAGAGGCCAAGUCCAAAGUGAUUCUCUCUCCGCCCCCCCUCUGUCUCUGUCUCUCUCUCUCCCUCACACACACACACAUGCACACACACAUGCACACACACAUGCACACACACACACACGCACACACACACACAAAUCAGCUGUCUCCCCAGCCUCCGGGUCAGAAGUCGGGGAUGCCUGAGCUCUCUGGCAGUCCGCUGGGCCCCUCGGAGCCAGAAGCAGGGUGGAAAAGAUGAGCAGAUGGUCCCAUGGGCUGGGCUCACAGCCACAGGGCAGUUGGGAGCAGGGAUCCCCCACCCCGCACCUCACCCUCACCCUCCACACACAGGGACACAGGCACUGGGAGCCUUGGAUCACUUUCCACAGUCUGGCAGUCACAGUGGGCCUGAGGAGGGCACAGAAGCCCGGGCAUGGGGCACUUCCUUCCUGCCCACAGCCCAUUUUCCGGGGCUGCCCUCAGCCUCGUCCUUCCAUUCUUUCUCAAGCCCCCAACCCAGGGGCCUUCAUCUCUCACCUCUGACAUGCUCUCGGUCCCGUGCCCUCCCUCCCCUCCCUCUCGGUUUCCUCCUCACUGUCCCGACCCUUCUGUGCUUUCUGACGUCUCCCAUCUCCUUUCUCUGUGGGCGCUUCUCCUUGCCCCUUCUCUCUCUACAUGUCUCUCUCCCAGGGUGUGCUCCAAGUUGAGUCUCUCACCCACGCCCCCCCCGCCCCCGGGAGCCUAGGCCUUGGCAGUGUGGGAGUCCUGGAAGCAGUCCUGAGGUGACAGCUUUUCCUUUAGGACCUUAUCUUCUUCUCCCUGUCCUUGCCCCCUUCUCACCCCCAGCAGGCUCCACAUCCCCUCGUGGCCCUCUCUGGAGACAGAAGUAAGAAUACUCCCCACACGCGAGACGCAGAAACCCUGGCACAGAGGAAAAGAGGUGACCAGUAAGGAAUGGAGAGGCCAAAUACAGACGAAGACUAAGAAAAUGAGAAAGAAGAGGACAGGGUGGAACCACAUGGCAGAGAAGAAGAAAAGGAAGGAAGACCAGGAGCAGAGACCUGCCGGGCAUUGCGAGCCAGACAGUCUGGGUGGGCAUGGGACACUCACCAUGAUUCCCAACAAACCUUGCCAAAAACUUCUAGGGUUGGACCCUAAGGCCUGCCCUCUGUCUGCCAGCUCUCACACAGACCCCUGAGGAGCACCCCCCUCUAUCUGAAGUCAGAGCCCAGUGCCUGCCCUCAGCUCCUGGGGUUCCAUGCUUGCCAGAAUGGUGAUCACUCAGCCUUCAGUUGCUGUGGGACUGUCAGGCAUUUCAGGGACCCGUUGUUUCAAACCUGCUAAGAGAUGUGAGCCAUUUUUACCUCAUCCACAUCUGUAUAUCCCAUCCCACAGCCAACAGACACUCUGUCUAUAGCUGUCUCUACCUACCCCACCCAGUGACAAAACUCAGCCAAAGGGAUCAAGCAAUCUCCCCACACCCCACAAUGGGAGACAGCCCUUGGCAUCUGGACUAUAAAUCCAGUGAAGAACACCAAUGCCCAAAGCCCCUGCCCACAACCUGGUUCACACAGCUGCCACCUAUGGAGUAUCCCGUGGGUUUCACCCAAAGUCACUAACACCAAGAAAGCUGCCCUCCCCGACUAAAGCUGUGUUCUAGCACCCCCCAAACCCCAUCUGUAACAGUAAAUGCCCAACUCCUAAAGCCAAAGCACCCCAAUUUCAAUACAGAAGGAAACUGGGCCUGAGGAUCUUGAUACAUCCCUGACCACCUAUCAUUUCUGGAUCUUUUCUGCACCCACCACCACCUCUACACCUUCACCUGGAGUGAACAUCUCUACCUUGUGGCUCAACACCCUCUUCAUGCAGUUCUCUUCAAGUCACCUCACCAGGAACAGUGAUGAAAGUCUUUCACUCACAGCUAAAUGCCUGCUUCCAAGGCCUUUAGGACUCUGUGGUUAGUGUGGGUUCCCUGGGGCACACCCCUGGUGAGUACAUCUGAAUCAUCUCUGCAACCCUGGGACCAGUUUCACAUAACUUUUUGUGUAAGGAUGAAGGGACAAAAGAGAGGGAGAGACAAGGUGAUAACACAGCCCUGCUCCUGCCCUGGCACUCUGAGGACAUCAGGCCCAGAUGACUGUAGCUGGCCAUGGGGACUCUGAGGCCAGGCUAGGAUCCAUCCACCAUGCCCAAUAGUGAAUAAGAGCCAGUCAGCUAGACACACCUUCCCACUUACCAGAGCUGUAACUUAUUCCUUGGCUUUUCCUAACCCUCAGGAGCCUUUCCUUAUCACUUUCUCCAAAAUUUUUCUGGAAGCCCCCUAAGCAGGCCAGUCUCUUCCCUUCUUCCCUAACCCAGCACCUUGUAGCCCCUUGGUUGAGGUAAUAGUGUUUAUGCCUGACUCUUCAUCAGCUGGGGGCCCCUCUGAGGCCUCAGAAGAUCUGCCUUUUUUCUUCUCCUUCAGACAAUAGUUCAAGGCCUAGUGCAUAAGAAAUUCCAGAAAAUGUUGGCUGUAAGAAUAAAUGAAUGGAUAAGGGUUUAUGUGUC